rnacentral:rRNA from 1 species
GAUGAACGCUGGCGGCGUGCCUAAUACAUGCAAGUCGAGCGAACGGACGAGAAGCUUGCUUCUCUGAUGUUAGCGGCGGAUGGGUGAGUAACACGUGGAUAACCUACCUAUAAGACUGGGAUAACUUCGGGAAACCGGAGCUAAUACCGGAUAAUAUUUUGAACCGCAUGGUUCAAAAGUGAAAGACGGUCUUGCUGUCACUUAUAGAUGGAUCCGCGCUGCAUUAGCUAGUUGGUAAGGUAACGGCUUACCAAGGCAACGAUGCAUAGCCGACCUGAGAGGGGGAUCGGCCACACUGGAACUGAGACACGGUCCAGACUCCUACGGGAGGCAGCAGUAGGGAAUCUUCCGCAAUGGGCGAAAGCCUGACGGAGCAACGCCGCGUGAGUGAUGAAGGUCUUCGGAUCGUAAAACUCUGUUAUUAGGGAAGAACAUAUGUGUAAGUAACUGUGCACAUCUUGACGGUACCUAAUCAGAAAGCCACGGCUAACUACGUG